UUUCUUGCACUUAUGUGUUUUUUAUCGAUUUUAUUCGUAAUAUUUAAACAAAGCUCAGUUUUACGUUUAUUUCUGUGUUGAAAUAGGGAAAACAAAAUAAAGCUGGUAAAAGCAGAGAAAAUUUCCUUUCCAACAAGCCCUUAUAGACCUUCUUACGCUCAGUAUUUUCUUAAUUACGAUAAUUUGAAUUUGUGACCUUUGCAUAGUUUUUAUGGAAAAAUCGGUCAAUAUUUACAUGUAACGUCAAGGUCGAUAUUGUUGCGUCUUACUCGAAACAACAAAUUCUUUUAUAAGACUUUUUUGACCAUUCAAAUAUAUUUUUUACUGAAAUAAAUGCAUAAUACAAAAAAAUAGAUUUCAAAAAACAAAUAUAUACUUUCGUUCUGCCUUUUGUGAAGUGAAUGUUGAUUUAUUCAUCUACCUGUAAUGAUGUAUAUUUCAUGAAGUGAUAUACAAUAUUGAUAAAAAUUGUAGAUUUCCAAAACGUCGAUCUUUACUAAAAAAAAAAAUCAAUCAGAUUUUUAAUGUUGUUGUAUCUUGUUAUACUGUAUACUUAUUAAUUUGCAAUUUAAUUAGAUCUAUAUUGAACAAUACAAAAACUCGCAUUUAUAAAUAAAUACGACUCAUCACUGUAUGAGUUGAUACGAAUAUUGAAAUAAACACGUGUUUCCGCUUUGGUGUAAACAUGAUGGUGAUCCGAAAUCUGAACGUCAGUUUUCAUGAUUAUUUCACGACGAAGAUCAUCACAUCAAUGAAUCAAAUAAUACGGAUAUGCCUUUGGUAUUAGCAGGGUGCUUUCAGCAUAUGCAACAAUACUUUCAUCUGUGAAUACCCACUUUCUAAGCCCACCAUGAACUACGAGCGGAAGGUCAAUUAAUAUGUAAGGACACCAAUGAACAGACACUUUCCAAUUAUCCUACAUCAUAUACAUGGGUGGUCAAACUCACUGUAUGGUUUAUCAACACUCCCAUGAUCACGAACAGCCUUGCGCCAGGAAUUUUGCCCUGAAGUAACAUUGCAGUCUAUUGUCUCCUUUCUUUUUACAACCCUGGCAGCCAUGCAGGAUAGAAGCUGAUCAAUUGUACUUGACAGCAAAUAAUAAUGUCUUGGACAAGUCAAAGAAUUUCCUCCAGUCUUACAGAGAAAUGACAGUUGAUAAAAGAAUGGUGGACACAAAGUAAAAGUGCUCUUCAACAUUUUGUUGAAGAUUUCAGUCUGAUUUGGAAUUCAUCUUGCAAUAUUUCUGUAUUUGUAUAUUUGGAUAUAAGCGUCAAAUUUUCAACUUAUUGACUAAACAGUUUUGCAUUAAAUAUUGCCAAUGCUAUCUAUUAUUAUUAUUUCCCUCCAAGAUAACAUGUCAAGUCUUUAUUGUACCCCUUAAGCUCUGUUAUACCAGAAAAAUCUUGUAAUGAAAUCAUUUAGUUUUUUUCUCUUGUUAAAUUAAAUCCAUGAAAAUAAAGAUUAUUUUUAAUGUCAUCAAGAGAAUGGAUUUCUUGUUUAACAAAAAGAUAGUAUACAUGUUUUGCUAGGGCUUUGUAAGAAGCAGACCAGAAUUCUUUGCUUGCAAACUUUGUCAUUCGCCAUUUUUAUUACGUCAACUAUUAGAUGAUUUAUCCAUGUCUGAAGCAUUUCAAAAUUGAUAUUUACUUACAGUUUAAAGCAGAAUUCUGUACUGAUAUGACCUUGACCCCCUGAAGAACAAGAGUGUCAAGGUCAAUUUUUAAUACAAAAAUGUUCUUUCAUCUUUAUG